ACUACGGGUGGCAGCAGUGGGGAAUAUUGCGCAAUGGGCGAAAGCCUGACGCAGCGACGCCGCGUGAGGGAUGAAGGUCUUCGGAUCGUAAACCUCUGUCAGCAGGGAAGAACGGUCACUGUGGUAAUCAGCAGUGAAUUGACGGUAUCUGCAAAGGAAGCACCGGCUAACUCCGUGCCAGCCGCCGCGGUAAUACGGGGGGUGCGAGCGUUAAUCGGAAUUACUGGGCGUAAAGCGCUCGUAGGCGGUAUGUGAAGUCAAGGGUGAAAUCCCCGGGCUCAACGGGGGAACUGCCUUUGAAACUGGCAAACUGGAGUGUGUGAGAGGAUAGUGGAAUUCCAGGUGUAGGGGUGAAAUCCGUAGAUAUCUGGAGGAACAUCAGUGGCGAAGGCGACUAUCUGGCACAUAACUGACGCUGAGGAGCGAAAGCGUGGGUAGCAAACAGGAUUAGAUACCCUUGUAGUC
rnacentral:rRNA from 1 species